rnacentral:tRNA from 1 species
CAAAUUAAAGCUUUAAUUGAAGCAUUUUAUUUACAUUAAAAGGAUUAUUAUUUAAUAUGAUUUGA